GAGGAGUGAGUGAGGAGUGAGUGAGUGAGUAGUGAGUAGUGAGUGAGUGAGUGAGUGAAUGAGUGUUCCCACAGUUCUCUUCCCCCUCAUUUGGUGCUCUGGACCUAUUGUGAGCACACGAAUGGCUUGCUGAGAGCCCCUUGUGCUGGUGUGAAGGAGUUCUCCAAACCGACUGCUUUCCAGCCCUAAUCCCUCGUCUUUUACUAUGGGUAAAGCUGUCGUGGCGCGUCCUGAAGAAACCUGCAGAAGAAAUGCUGGCCCGGUUCUCACUUAGCCGGGCUCCCGAGCGUGGCACUAAAGGUCAAUGCUUCACUCCUGUGGAACCCCAGCCCUCUUCUGCAUUCGUUUCCCUCUUCUUUCCAGUCCUCUAAUGUGAUAGACCGUGUGGGGAGAGGCAAGAGAGGGCGGGGGAGGAGUGUGUGAUGUAACCUCUGACUCCGGUGAAGUUCCGCGACAGCCCCGCGGUGCCUGCGGCUCACCGUGGGGUUUUGGUGCCGCCGCUGGGAGACUGAAGAGGAGGCAUGAAGAUCCACCAGGGCUGCGGGAGACCUAGCCUGUGACUCACCUCCCUUGUGGAGAGGAAAGCUGAGCCCAGGCUGCAGCUCCUUGUCUUGCCGGCUCUACCUGCGCCGCGACCGGCUGGGGACACCUCUGGAGAAAGGGAUGUUCGGAGGCAGCUGCGCUGCUGCGGUGAGUCUGCUCCUCCUUCCUGGCUUUUCCCGACGGUUUGGGGGGACAAGGAAGGGAAGCGGAGCGAGCUGGAAUGCGUGUGGAUUUUUGGGGGGACAAGGAAGGGAAGCGGAGCGAGCUGGAAUGCGUGUGGAUUUUUGGGGGGACAAGGAAGGGAAGCGGAGCGAGCUGGAAUGCGUGUGGAUUUUUGGGGGCAUAUAACCGUGUGGAAUCCCUGCUGGAUUGACUCUGAGCCAGUUGAUAAUCACCGACUAAUCUGGGUGCUGGCAGAGUCCAGCCGGAUUACAAGGGCAUGUGGCUGUGUGUUAAGAUGGGUGUGACACCUCCCAGGGGUCUCGGGUUUUGUGUCAGAGGGUCACCCCAAAAAAGGGGUCGACUGCAAAGAUCAACCACAGGAGAGAAAUUUUGGGGUGUCUGUCACUGACACGAUGUGGGGCGUGGAUGUCACAGUCUGUGAGGAGGAGUCAGAGGAGAAAACGUGCUUUUCUUAAUGCCAGCAGGAGAUGAAACUGGGAGGAAGCUGGUCCUGUAUAUCUGCUAAUGGAUCAGGUAGCUGUUGAAACUAACUGCAGAAAAGUGUUUUCUAGGAGAACUUCCGAGAGCCAUUGAAAACAUCUCCUUGCUAAAGGAAAGAAGAGGAAGAUCAUCAUAAUAUAACGUGGGAUGGCUUCAACUUGGCAGAAAACUCAGGAAUUCUACAACUGGAUUCUUGAAAGUGGAGAUCCAAGGACAGACCCGUGGCCACUGGUGUACUCCCCACUUCCUGUCACCCUGAUCUUCACCUCCUACCUCUUCAUGGUGGCACUGGGGCCGUCCUAUAUGUGGCAGCGGCAGCGGCUGGAGCUGCGGGCUCUGCUGCUCACCUACAACCUGGCCAUGGUGGCAUUAUCCAGCUACAUGUUCUACGAGUUUCUGGUUACUUCAGUUUUGGCCAACUACAGCUACCUGUGCCAGCCAGUGGAUUACAGCCGGAGUGAGCUGGGAAUGAGGCAGAUGGCAAGAGUGUGUUGGUGGUUCUUCCUCUCCAAAAUCAUCGAGCUGCUGGAUACGGUUUUCUUAAUUCUGCGCAAGAAACAAGAGCAGGUGACUUUUCUGCACGUGUACCAUCAUGGCUCUAUGCUCUUCAACUGGUGGUCAGGGGUCAAAUACGUGCCUGGAGGACAAGCCUUCUUUAUUGGGAUGCUGAACUCCUUUGUCCACAUCUUCAUGUAUGGCUACUACACUCUGGCCGGCCUGGGACCACGGAUGCACAGGCACCUGUGGUGGAAGCGUUACUUGACCAUCCUGCAGCUGUGCCAGCUGGUAGCCAUUGCUGCUCAUUCUUCCUACAACCUCUUCACAGAGUGCCCAUUCCCUGAUGGCUUCAACACCGCAGUCUUCGUCUACAUCCUCAGCCUCCUAGCUCUCUUCCUACACUUCUACUAUUGGACCUACAUUAGGCGAAAGCGGGAAAAGCUGAUUUAAAGGAAAUCAAAGAAGACAGACAGCACAGACUGAUGAACGUGCAUGUUCUCUGCUGCUUGUGAUGUGGUCUCAGGAAGAAAAUGUAUCUUGUGAGUGUGUGUCUUACCUUCAAAUAUCCCAGUUUAGGGAGAAGAAAGGAAUGAUGUAAACUCAGGGAUUAAGGAGCUGAGGAGCACACUUAAUUAAGAUGAGGCCAAGCUAAAACAAGUAGUCACCAGCAUAGCAGGCUUUGGGACAUUUGCCAGAUAAGGUCUUUUUCCCUUUCAUCUUUAGCUCAGUGUCCCAGGUCCAGCAGCCAGCUACAACUCCCUGCCUCAUUUCCUAGGCUGUAGAGGGUUUCUUUGCAUCCACAAAAGUAUCUCAGCUUGGUGUUGUAGAUCAGGCAGGGUCAUGUGCCUCCAGCCUGGAAAUCAAUGUCCAGGUAGUAGCAACAGCCAGAAAUCCACAGGGACUGCAGGAUGCGCUCUGCUGUACACUGCAUCCCACCCUGCCCUGCUAAGGGAGAUCCUGCUAGGCCUGAGGUGGUCCUGGUGGUUUAACUUAAUAUAAUUAUAAGCAGAAAGGAAACUGGACAUUAGGUUGUCUGGCUGGACAGGUGUCUUCACUGUCCUGAAGCUAAAGACGGCAUUAUUAGCACUUUAAUCCUAAUAAGAAACUGGUGUAGUAAGAGUCACCAUGUCCCAUUUUCUGGAAUGCUUAUUUCUUUUUGGUUGCUCUCAUAUCAAUAGAGUAUUUUAAUGCCUGAAGAUACUUGGUAUUGGUCCUUAUAGAUACCAUAAUUGAACUAGAAAGAAUAGAUUGAUAUUCCCUAUUCAUAACUUUUUUUAUCCAAUUUGUUAUUCUUUUUAAUACUGUUAUUUUUAAAUUUUGCUUCUUGUCAAACACAAGGAGUUGAACAACACCAUAAGCAACCACUUCCACUACCUAAUUGUAUAAGAAUUAAUACAAAAUGUAUAAAAUAAAUUCACUGAGUAGUGCAAAGCUGCAUAGCUCCAUUGAUUUUAAGAGAUCACUAAUUUGGCUUCUAUUUUUUUUCUCCUAAAUCAAUUACAGCUAGAAUCUGGCACUUAUAUUCAUCUGCAGACUGUUAAAUACUGUUAGAGUUUUGAUGUGGUAGUGCUUUGAAAGCCCUAAUUAAACUACAAAGUGGUGAUUAUUGAUUGAAUCCUGCUCAGUUGAUUAAAACAGGUAUUACAGAGUAGUGGUAUUUUGUGAAAUACAGAGGUGUUGGAGGAGAGGGUUGGAAUUAGUGAAAUGGUGCAUUGCUGUUGCCAAGGCAAAUCCAGCUGAAAUAUAAAGAAGUCCAACUCCACUGGGAAUGUCCAGAGGACUAGAGCUAGCCUGAACCUAGCAAAUGGAUGUACGCCAAAAGUCCUGUGUGCCCUACACCAAUCUGGCGUCAAGUGGCUACAAAAAAUAAAUUCAACUUGCUCCUCACUGCUCUGUGUUCAUACCCCAAAUGUUUCCUUCAGCCCCUCCACACACAUAGAAGAUAAAACAGCAUUCUGCCAUUCCUCACCCUCCUCCCCUUCACACACAGCCAGCCACAAGGGACUUGUUCACAUUGUCACAAGGACCCAUCACAAAUAUCCUUCCAUUGAUUUGAGCAGUCUCUCUUCUGAUUGUCAUUGGUGAGUAUGAAAAUCACUGCAUCUGUGCUAGUUGGUUUUCUUCCUGCCAAAUAUUUUUCCAUGCUAAUUAAUAAGUAAAUAGUGACACUUUUGCAUACUGGAGUUUAAUGGAAUUCUACUUUUGACAGAAUUUUAAGUAGCAAAUCCCUGGGUGGAUCCUUCAUCCCUCCCUUUGUUUGGAAAGGCAGGAAAAUGGGAUCUGCUGUGUAUCUAACAUAUUCAUGUGGAGGGUUUCCUCUGGGGGCUCUCCAGAGCUGAAGACUCCAUGCAAGGGUUUCUGCAAGGCUUUCAUCCAGGUGAAUUUGGGCAAGUCUUUCUUUGCACUAGCAUUAUCCCAUCUGGCUUCAAAUUCAGGAUGUGAACACUGAAACUUGAUACUUGGGCUAGAAACCUGAACUGGAACUUAAAUCCUGCAUGGUCCCUCCCAGGCAUUCCCUGCUAUUGAUGAAGGAAUGGCAGAAUGGAUACAACCAUAUGAGAGGCAGCAAGUUACUCCUCCUCUGAACACUUAAUUUUGCUCUGUGUUGUGCUCGCUAUCACAUUUAAAUAUAAUAAAUACAUAGUUAUUCCUGAGGCAAUAUUUGGAGGGAGAAUGCCUUGCAGGAGUUGAGAGAAUUGGAAAACCAAAAUAGUUUUUGAGUGUGCAAGCCCUUCUCUGGUUGUAAUCCCUGACAUGUAUUGGUAGCAGAUCAGCCGCUUCUUGCUGGGGUGCACAGGUCUAUCUGUGGUGUGUCUGUAUUUAUUACGGGUUUUGCUAGUCCCAAAGGAUGUUAUCCUAUGUUUUGCCGGUUUGAUAUGUUAUCUCACUAAAUAACUGUAAAUCAAAGGACCGUUAUUUUCAAAGAAGAACUUAUCUUCAAUGUUAUUUUGCUUCUAGAAAUUACUUGUGUGAGUAAAGCUGUCCUUUAAGUAAAGGUGGCAUGGUGGCAAAACAGGUUGGAAUUUCUCAGUUCUCAGUGCUCAGUUUUUGGAGAUAAAAUGCAAGCCACCACUUACCAAAACUGUUUAAUACAAUCAUGGUUUUCUAUUUUGGCACUGCUUUUAAUAUCAUUGUUCAUAUUUCAUACACAGAGGUAAUGUUUUAAAUUAAGGGAAAGCCACUAGUCACAAUGAAUCUAAAUGGAGUGUUUGAUGGAGCUAUGUGUAGUAACAUAAGGAUUUCGGAAAAAAUCUCACUGUGAUGCCAACUGGAAGGCAAAAUGGUCACACUCAAUUUUGUUAGAAAACCAGAAACUCCACAAGACUGGAGUGGUGCAUAUAUACCUACACGUUCUGUACAUAUAUAGUGUAUUUCCCUGCAGACCUUGAAUAGAAUGAAUGAGUUUGUGGGUUGAAUAUAGAAAGUAAGAUUUUGGCAUCAAUUGUAUUACAGAACUGUAAUUGAAGUCAUUGUGUAAAGCUGCUCGCUUCUCUCUAAAUAAAAGGUACAUCUACUGAAA